UACGUAGGGAGCAAGCGUUGUCCGGAUUCACUGGGUGUAAAGGGUGCGCAGGCGGGAGAGUAAGUCAGAGGGGAAAUCUCACAGCUUAACUGUGAAACUGCCUUUGAUACUGCUUUUCUUGAGUUCGGGAGAGGUUGAUGGAAUUCCAGGUGUAGCGGUGAAAUGCGUAGAUAUCUGGAAGAACACCAGUGGCGAAGGCGGUCUCCUGGGGCAUUCUUGACGCUGAUGCGCGAAAGCUGGGGGAGCAAACGGG
rnacentral:rRNA from 1 species